rnacentral:rRNA from 1 species
GACGAACGCUGGCGGCGUGCUUAACACAUGCAAGUCGAACGGAAAGGCCCUGCUUUUGUGGGGUGCUCGAGUGGCGAACGGGUGAGUAACACGUGUGUAACCUGCCCUUGACUUUGGGAUAACUUCAGGAAACUGGGGCUACUACCGGAUAGGAGCUCCUGCUGCAUGGUGGGGGUUGGAAAGUUUCGGCGGUUGGGGAUGGACUCGCGGCUUAUCAGCUUGUUGGUGGGGUAGUGGCUUACCAAGGCUUUGACGGGUAGCCGGCCUGAGAGGGUGACCGGCCACAUGGGGACUGAGAUACGGCCCAGACUCCUACGGGAGGCAGCAGGGGGGAAUAUUGCACAAUGGGCGGAAGCCUGAGGCAGCGACGCCGCGUGCGGGAUGACGGCCUUCGGGUUGUAAACCGCUUUCGCCUGUGACGAAGCGUGAGUGACGGUAAUGGGUAAAGAAGCACCGGCUAACUACGUG